UCUUUGCAUGCUAGAAUAAUUUUUUUAAAUGAUUUUUGUUAAACCUUGAAUAUUUUGAAUUGUGCUGGGAUAGAUAUAUUUUAUAAUUUAGUAUCUUUUGCGUUAUUAAGCAACUUCUUAGUAUUUUGAUGGAACAAUGGUACCCUCCCCCAACCCUCGUCUAUGGAAUGACUUUUUUUCAGUUUUUGUCACAAAUUCUAUCAACUAGCAAUUUGGAUGACCAAGAAACUACAUCAGAAUGAUAGAUAAUGUAUAUAUAGGUUAGAACACUAACAACCUUUUGCCGACUAAAGGCUUGCGACUCGCCAGCAGAAGUGAGAUUGCUUCCUUGGUUCUCUCUCGUGUUCCGAGCUGACAUGAACUACGCUGGAUGCUGUGAAAAGUUCGCUAAAGAUGGCAUCAAAAUAUUAAAUCUAAGUAUCCAUUUAGUUCCUUGAUUAUAAUACUAAAAUUGCGAAAACAUGACAUCCUGUAAUCAUUUUAUUUAUUCUUCUAGUCGAAUGAGUUGCAAGUUAUAAGGAGAGAAAACAUUAUUACUUAGAAACAUCUAUCGAAACAUAUGCAGCAUUCCCAUCUCUUUCUCAACAUAAGAAUCGGCUGAAUCGAAAGACGGGCCAUUCUGACAUCAAUUUCUGUAAAGGGCCGAAUAAAUCAGACGCCACAGAAUGGAGCCAGCAUGCGAGAGCCUUCUGCAUGUAGCCGUCCUCCCCAGGAAAAUGUUGCCAGGCAAGUAACGAACCACUUAGUGCUAAAACAAGACAAGAAAUGUUUCCAGGCGAUGUGUAAGUGUCAUAUUUGCAGAGUGACUACUUCAGUUUCUGUCAGAUUCUCUAUCAGCAAUCUGUAUGAUGGCAAAUAUUUUCUCAUAAUGGUAUUAGUAUAUACAAGUUGGAAAACCUACUGCUUAUAUAAUUGCUCUUUUUCUGAGUGAAGACUUCCUAUUUACACCUAAAGUAAGACGGCUUUCAUGAAUCCACAUAUGUCCUGAAUCGAACCCAUUUAUGCUGAAUGUGGUGAAACUCUAGCUAAAAAUGACUACUUAUUUUGGCAAUGGAAAAAGUUCUCCUUAAGCUAUACGGAGGCAAUCCGUAAUUACCUGGAAACAUCUAUCAAAGCAAAAACAAUAUUUCCAGCUAUUUCUCAACACAAGAAUAAGGCUUGGAAAGUUUCCUCAUUGAUUCCGAAGCGAUAUCGUAUUGUAUAGAUUGGAAUAAGUUUUGAUCUAUAGCCAUCUCUUGCUGAAUAAAGCCUUACCACACUCCACUAGAAGUGAGACUGCUUUCUCGGUUCCACACGUGUUCUGAACUGGCAUCUACUGAGCUGGAUGUUAUGAAAUACUCGCUACAGAUGACAUCAAAAUAUUAAAUCCAAGUAUAGUCGGUUCCUUUUUUAUAAUACUAAAAUUGUAGAAAUAACAUUCUUUAAUCGCUUUUUUUUUUUGUCUUAUAGAAGGCAAAUUUCCCCUUAUCUGUAAGGGGAAGAACAUUAUUAUUUGUAAACCUUUAUCAAAACAGAAGCAGCAUAUCCAGCAAUUUCUCAAUGUUGUAAUCGGUGGUACUGCAGCACGUGCCAUUCGGAGGUCAAAUUCUGUACAAGUAAGGAUUAAAUAAAUCAAUCGCCUACGAAACAGCCAGCAUAUGAAAGCUUUUUGCAAGUCGUCGUUCUCAAAAUGAAACUUUUGUCCUGCCAAGAACUUUCUACUGUAUUGAAAUAAGACAUGUUUCCAGAAUGAAAGUGGAAUGUUUUUCAAACGAAAUUUCAUUUUGUCACUACAUGAUGGUCUGAAUUUGAACGACAGCUGACGACAGGUGGCAAUUGAAUAACUUGGGACCUAUACAAGUGCAUCUUACUGAAUGAAGACUUUUCGUCCACCACAAGGACAACUGUUUUCUUGGUUCUGCGUACCUCGGCAAUUUACACUAAGGAUGUUGAAUGUGCGUAAUUAUCUGUCAAUGACAUCAAAACAUCAGGAAUUCAAGGGCAUGGUGUCUUUUAAAAUGUUUAGACCGAAGUGAUUGCAACAAAACUGGACGAUUCUGAAGUUUCAUCAAGCGUAACCUUGGAACCCGAAGUCUUUACAAAUUAUGGACAAAGAUUCAAAAGGUGCUAUGAUAUCGUAAACUUGUGAUUUAUACCAAGUUUAAAAUGUAUCGAUUAAAAUGAUAAAAAUUGGAUUAUCAAAAUCUGCACAUUAGAAAUGAUAUUUAAUAUAAUCAACAUUUUUGGCUGCUAAUAUAUUUUUGAAAUGAUUGCUUCCAUUGUAACUCCAAAUGAUGGAUAACAUUAUUUAGAACUCUUCUGAAAAAUGCAGAAAUUCGUUUACAAAUGUUUGAUGUUCAACGAAGUAUCUUUCGUGCAUCGCAGUUAUGCAUUCAAAAUAAAUGUUUGGCUCAUCAAUUAAUUUUUUAUCGAGAAAUUGUUCAGAAUUUUUUAUUCGGUUAUCAAUUCUGCCUGUAAACUCUGAGUUAAAAAUUCAUUCGAUGUGCAUGUGAGUCUUCUUAUAUGUGAAAUGGUUUAAAGUCCUACGUAUUGGUUCCCAUUAAUCGAACAAAUCUAUAUUAUAUUAACAUUCUAUAUUUUACUAGUGCCGUAUACUUACUGCUGACUUAAUGAAUAUCUAUCUUUAUGUAUCCAAACGGCCAAUUUUAUGAUAUGCUAUUACAUGAGCAAUUUAACAUUUCAAUCGAAGUGUAUUUCAAUUUAACAGUGUCUGAUUUGAAAUCAGCUCCCUUAGGUUAACUAUAAACUUAAUUUGUUGAAAUUUAGAGAAAAUAUAUUUGAUCUUGUAUUCACUUUUUGGUAAUUUUUUAAUAUCAAAUCAUAGAAACUAAAGAUGCAAUAAAACUAGAUUCGUGCAUCCAAAUAUCGCUUUCACAUUUAGAAAUCGUAUUUAGACUUGAUACAAAUUAAACGUAAUCCACCUUUUCAGAAUGCACCUUUAUUGUAACCA